UCAGCCACACUGGAACUGACGACGACGGUCCAGACUCCUACGGGGAGGCAGCAGUGGGGAAUCUUGCGCAAUGGACGAAAGUCUGACGCAGCAACGCCGCGUGGGGUGAUGAAGGUUUUCGGAUCGUAAAGCCCUGUCGGAGGGGAAGAUGGUGUAAACAAUGAAUAAGUGUUUACAUUGACGGUACCCCUUAAAGGAAGCACCGGCUAACUCUGUGCCAGCAGCCGCGGUAAUACAGAGGGUGCAAGCGUUGUUCGGAAUUAUUGGGCGUAAAGGGAGUGUAGGCGGCUAAUUAAGUCUUAUGUGAAAUCUACGGGCUCAUCCUGUAACGUGCAUAGGAAACUGAUAAGCUAGAGUGCCAAAGAGGAGAGCGGAAUUCCCGGUGUAGAAGUGAAAUUCGUAGAGAUCGGGAG
rnacentral:rRNA from 1 species